GACGAACGCUGGCGGCGUGCUUAACACAUGCAAGUCGAGCGGAAAGGCCUCUUUCGGGGGGUACUCGAGUGGCGAACGGGUGAGUAACACGUGAGUAACCUGCCCUUGACUUUGGGAUAACUUCAGGAAACUGGGGCUAAUACCGGAUAGGAGCUCCUGCUGCAUGGUGGGGGUUGGAAAGUUUCGGCGGUUGGGGAUGGACUCGCGGCUUAUCAGCUUGUUGGUGGGGUAGUGGCUUACCAAGGCUUUGACGGGUAGCCGGCCUGAGAGGGUGACCGGCCACAUUGGGACUGAGAUACGGCCCAGACGCCUACGGGAGGCAGCAGUGGGGAAUAUUGCACAAUGGGUGGAAGCCUGAUGCAGCAACGCCGUGUGCGGGAUGACGGCCUUCGGGUUGUAAACCGCUUUCGCUCAUGACGAAGCUUUGUGUGACGGUAGUGGAUAAAGAAGCACCGGCUAACUACGUG
rnacentral:rRNA from 1 species